UAAAUGCUUCCAAAAAGCUAUAGGAAAAUGGCCAUUAAAAACAAACUGACAAAUUUAGCCAACAAGCCACUAUUUGACAAUUCUGCAAGCUUAUUUUUAAAAUUCAGCUUAUCAAAACUGCCAUUCCAGAAGCCAGGGACCUGAGUUUCCAUAGAGGAUGGAGUAGAAUGGAGGGGCCUCUGUAUAAAUCUACCUCCUCGGGAACUGGGACAGUUCAGCAUUCACCAGAGUAACAUAUGAAGAAACAGGAGAUUCCUACAUGCUCCUGGGGAUCCAGAAGAGAGACCACUCACAUGACUGGAAGAUUUCCAGCUCAGGUAACCACAAAGGCCAUAUAUUUGGUGAAUACAUGCAAUGUUAGUUAGAAUAAAACCAAAUUUCUCUGAAUAAUAUAAAGUCAUUACUAAUAAAACUUUUAUAGAUUUUUCUCUGAAGAAAUUUCCAGGAAGGUAUUAAGAGAAAGCCCUACAAUUAAGGUAUGGAGGCUGGCUGCAGGCCCUGAAAGCUACUCUGACGAGCAAUGACUUAAUGCUGAUAGUGGGAAGUCUCUUGCCCACUGCAGGAUACAGAGAAUUCUUCCUCAACCCGAGGCUUCUGCUCAUUCACUCCCUUCUCAGCAGGUCCCUUCUUCUCUGAGGGCUGAUGCAUCCCAGCCUUCUGCUGGGACAUUUUCUCAUGAAGAGCUCUCUUACAGCCGUCUUUGAAAGGAAGGACAGAGAAGAAAGAUGUCUAUGUCUUCACAAUGGCCAGGCUUUUCUCCAAAACUACCUAAAGCAAUUGAAACAAAAUUAUGGCUUACAGAGGUUAGAUUAUUAGUGGAGAUCCUGUAGGACGAUAGAAUCUCAAGAGCAGAGCCUACCAGGAAGUAGAGUGAAGCCUACAACUUCCUCAGCCAUGAGGACCCAACAAUCCACUGGGGAGUGCUGGUUUGCCACAAAACUCCAUCGUAACUGAAAGAGGAAAUCUUCUACAAAUUCCAGAAAGCUUGGGGAGAAACAAUCCAACGGCACAAGUUCAAGUGCCCAACGGGGUGGAGAAGGGACUGCAUACUCACUGGUUGCCAGGCCGAGGUUGUCCGCCUUGCCUGCUUUGGCUGAGACUGGAGACGGAAACUCCAUUCAACAGCGACUGGAGGACUGAAACAGGGCGCAAGAGGGCGGCUGCCCUUCACCUACCGGUCCCUCCCUGCCUUGGCGCCUUCGGAGUUCGGACUGACCCGGGAUGUUGCUGGAGCCCGCAGGAACUGCAAACUCACCGCGCGCGUCCCUGCACACCCGCACCUGCGCCUCGAGAACUCCUGGCCAGUUGAAUACCCGGUCCCCCGCCGAGCUUCGCUGCAGGUCACAGGAAAGAGGUGCAGGGUUGCGUACCCGGCGGGAGAAGCCGCGCGGAGAGGACCAGGUGCUGCUACUGGCCUCCGAGAAGACAGGCCUAGAGUAGCUGAUUUUGACCUGCAGGGCCAAAGUCUAACGGCGGCCUAAAACCCUAACGUCUGGGCGAGCCGCGGGUAGCGAGUUGAAGCGAUCUCUAUGCCUUGCUUGUCGUUUGCCAAAAUUCAGACCAAGAAAGAGAAUAGUUGUGUGGAUCAAAGUCUGCAAUUAACCAAAAAAGAAACAUGAUCCUGUGUUAGCUUACUUAGGAAAAAAGGAAGAAGGAAGGAAAGAAGGAAGGAAGGGAGGAAAGGAUGGAGGGAGGGAAGAAAGAUGAAAAAAUCAACCAAAAAAAGAACAUGAUUUCCUAACUAAUCGGAUGUGGGUCAUGAGAGAAAGACCUGCGUCGAGUUUUUGGCCUGAACGUGUGGAGGGUGGAGUUGCCAUUAACUAACGUGGGAAAAGGCAGGUGUAGUACGUUUUAGAGAAAAUAUCCGGAAUUCCGUUCAGGGCCCUGGGGUCUUCCUUGAAAGAGUUUUCCAUCCAGGCCGUCUCGGUUUCCGCAUCCGUCUGAGUCGUUUAUGAUGUCGGGAAUGCAGGAAUCUGAGUCCUUUAUGAUGUUGAGGGUGCCACGGUCUCACCCCGGGCGCCUCCCCGCUCCAGCCUCCUCCCGGAAGCCUGGUGCGCUCUGGCCCCGCCGACCAGCGACAGUCUCUCCACGCGCUGCCGCCUAGCAAAGGCGCAUCUUUAGGUCGGUAGUGAGGUGCGGCCGGGACGCUGCAACUCGCUCCGGGACUUGUAAACCUGGCAGGUGUUCGAAGAGGGCCACUGGCUGGAAGGAAAGGAGAGAGCUCUGCACGUCGCGUGUGGGCUCGCAACUUGGAGAAAGCAGGGAGAGGACAGCCUUUUGGGACUAUUCCUUGGAUGGGCGGGUGGCACCAGGAAGGGUAGAUGGAGCUUUCUAGAGGUCAAUGUCAGCGUAAUUUCUGCUGAAACAAUUGAAGGAGGAAAAAAAAAAAAGUAUGUGCUUUGUGGUUCCCUGGUAGUCUAGUGGCUAAAGUUUGGCGCUUUCACCGCCGGGACUGGUUGAUUCCAGAUCAGGGGACUGGGUCUCGGCCUCACUGUGAGGUAUUGUUCUUUCCUGUGUUUGCCAUCUGCCACCGCUGUGGCUCAAUUAUUCCAAGACUGCUGGAGAAAUGGAAUUAAUGUCGAUCCUAAAAUUUAAGCUAUUUAUCUAGGAUAAAUUCCAAAUAGUGGAACUGCUAGGUGAAAUUUAUUGUGAAUUUAAGAUUCCGAUGUAUACAGCCCUACAACGUAUAAGCACCAAUUACAUUCCCCAAAGUGUGUGAGACUGCGUCUUUUCCCCAGAAUUUGGAACCAAUGCUAGAAAUUAUCAGUCUUUUAGAGAUAAUUUUAAGCUUAUUUAUCAUCAAAGGAUUUCUUCAUAGUCAAUUUCCCCUUAGACUAUAAAUCCGCAAGAGAUGGCAAAGCUGGAAGAACUGCCUAGAAUUUCAGCAAACUUGAAUUCAAUAGUCUCUCUGUUCUUUCCUGUUUUGGCACCUACCCUUUUCUUCCAGUUAAGAUUGGACACAAUAGAAAAAUAAUUAAUAAAUGUAAUAAAAAUGUAAGCCUGGA